GCGCUAACCGAAAGGGGGCAGCCGGCCACGGUAGGGUCAGCGACUGGGGUGAAGUCGUAACAAGGUAGCCGUAGGGGAACCUGCGGCUGGAUCACCUCCUUUCUAAGGA
rnacentral:rRNA from 1 species